GUGGUUAUUCUGACUUUGAGAUGUUUCUAUUAAGGAUUAUGAACUAAAUUCCCUAGAUACAAUGGGAAGAUGAAAUCUAUGAUGAAUCAUUUUAUUUAAUUUCUGUUUUUAUGCGAUAAAUGUUUUAUUCUUGUUCUCAAUUAUGUAUGCUUAUUUCUUGUUUUAAUAUUUCUGGGAUAUUAAUUCAUAUUUAAUGUGCUUAUUUCAGUGGAGUAAAAAUCCCUAUUUAAGAGUAGAUCUAACAUAAUUGAGUGGAGUUGCAUGCAAUCGUAGACAUAGGACGACAUAAAUCUACCUGAUUAGAGUCAAAUCUAAUA
rnacentral:lncRNA from 1 species